UAACAUGAAAACGUUCACCGGCCCUGAUUUAAACAGUUCUGUAAUGAUCGGAGUGUUCUGAGCCACACGCAGAAUCAACCACAGAGCCAUGGUAAAAGUUAAAAGGUUUAUUUACAACAGCAGUAAGGAAUGUACACUCGGGAAGAGCGUCAAGACAAGAGACGUAUCUGGAGAGAACAUAAUGGAUAGGCGAAGAGCAUGAGGAUGGUUGGAUCUUGGAGAAGUUGGAAAAUUUAAUGCAGGUUUUUGGAUGAUUCACGUGACGUUUGGGGUUAAGAGAAUGAAUCUAGGAGUGAACCAUUGGGGCUGAGAUCUGGUGAGGACAUCCAGAAGGACAAAGAAAUCAAGGAACUCUUAACCUGUGAAGAACAGAGGAAAGUGGUGAGUAACCAGGAAACACUGGAGGAAUCAAACAAACUUCAGUAAAAGAACGGAUUGUGGCUUGACUCUACCAUUGUCAUUUAACCAUU